rnacentral:rRNA from 1 species
AGUGAACGCUGGCGGUAGGCCUAACACAUGCAAGUCGAACGGCAGCACAGUAAGAGCUUGCUCGUACGGAGGGCGAGUGGCGGACGGGUGAGGAAUACAUCGGAAUCUACUUUUGCGAGUGGCCUAACGUAGGGAAACUUACUCUAAUACCGCAUACGACCUACGGGUGAAAUCAUGGUAUCUUCGGACCUGGCGCGAUUGAGUGAUGCGAUGUCGGAUUAGAUAGGUGACGGGGUAAAGGCCCACCAAGGCGACGAUCCGUAGCUGGGCUGAGAGGAUGGUCCGUCACACUGGAACGGAGACACGGUCCAGACCACUCCCGGACGGAGCAGUGGGGAAUAUUGGACAAUGGGCGCAACCCGGAUCCAGCCCUACCGCGUCGCUGAAGAAAAGCCUCCCGUUUGAAAGCCAUUUUGUUGGGAAAGAAAAGCAGCAGGUUAAUACCGCGCUGUUCUGCCGGUACCCAAAGAAUAAGCACCGGCUAACUUCGUG